rnacentral:rRNA from 1 species
CCUACGGGAGGCAGCAGUGGGGAAUAUUGGGCAAUGGAGGAAACUCUGACCCAGCAAUGCCGCGUGAAUGAAGAAGGCCCUCGGAUUGUAAAGCUCUUUAGUCAGGGAAGCAGUCAAUGACGGUACCUGAAGUAUAAGCUCUGGCUAACUACGAGCCAGCAGCUGCGGCAAUACGGAGGGAGCAAGCGUUGCUCGGAAUGACUGGGCGUAAAGGGUGCGUAGGCGGUUGUACAAGUUAGAGGUGAAAUACCCAGGGCUUAACUCGGGUGCUGCUUCUAAAACUGUAUGACUUGAGUGCAGUAGAGGUUCGUGGAAUUCCUAGUGUAGCGGUGGAAUGCGUAGAUAUUAGGAGGAACACCAGAGGCGAAGGCAGCUAACUGGACUGCAACUGACGCUGAGGCACGAAAGUGUGGGGAGCAAACAGGAUUAGAUACCCCAGUAGUC